rnacentral:rRNA from 1 species
UACGUAGGGUGCGAGCGUUGUCCGGAAUUAUUGGGCGUAAAGGGCUCGUAGGCGGUUUGUCGCGUCGGGAGUGAAAACACUGGGCUUAACUCAGUGCUUGCUUCCGAUACGGGCAGACUAGAGGUAUUCAGGGGAGAACGGAAUUCCUGGUGUAGCGGUGGAAAUGCGCAGAUAUCAGGAGGAACACCGGUGGCGAAGGCGGUUCUCUGGGAAUGUCCUGACGCUGAGGAGCGAAAGUGUGGGGAGCGAACAGG